CCUGGGCAGUCAAGGCGAAGAUUGAGGUGUGUCCUGUUGCUGCUUGUUUGGAAGAGAAAUCGCUUUUCCAUGGCUCAUCCUGCUCCCUAUCAGUGACAGACCCACAAACAGGUCCAGCAUGAAUGCAGUGGAUCUCUGUGGUGCCCAAGCCGAGACAGUGCAGCGUUCCCUGUUGCUGCUUGUUUCGAAGGAACAUCCCUUUUGCAUGGGGGCUCUGAUGUCUAUCAGUGACUAAAACGCCAACAGGUGCACCAUGGAUGGAGUGGAUCCCUGUGCUGCCCAAGUCGAAAGAUUGGCGUGUUCCCUGUUGCUGCUUGUUUCGAAGGGACACCCAUUUUGCAUGAGGGCUCUGCUGUGCAUCUGUGACCAAAGCACAAA